rnacentral:rRNA from 1 species
GACGAACGCUGGCGGCGUGCUUAACACAUGCAAGUCGAACGGAAAGGCCCUGCUUUUGUGGGGUGCUCGAGUGGCGAACGGGUGAGUAACACGUGAGUAACCUGCCCUUGACUUUGGGAUAACUUCAGGAAACUGGGGCUAAUACCGGAUAGGAGCUCCUGCUGCAUGGUGGGGGUUGGAAAGUUUCGGCGGUUGGGGAUGGACUCGCGGCUUAUCAGCUUGUUGGUGGGGUAGUGGCUUACCAAGGCUUUGACGGGUAGCCGGCCUGAGAGGGUGACCGGCCACAUUGGGACUGAGAUACGGCCCAGACUCCUACGGGAGGCAGCAGUGGGGAAUAUUGCACAAUGGGCGGAAGCCUGAUGCAGCAACGCCGCGUGCGGGAUGACGGCCUUCGGGUUGUAAACCGCUUUCGCCUGUGACGAAGCGUGAGUGACGGUAAUGGGUAAAGAAGCACCGGCUAACUACGUGCCAGCAGCCGCGGUGAUACGUAGGGUGCGAGCGUUGUCCGGAUUUAUUGGGCGUAAAGGGCUCGUAGGUGGUUGAUCGCGUCGGAAGUGUAAUCUUGGGGCUUAACCCUGAGCGUGCUUUCGAUACGGGUUGACUUGAGGAAGGUAGGGGAGAAUGGAAUUCCUGGUGGAGCGGUGGAAUGCGCAGAUAUCAGGAGGAACACCAGUGGCGAAGGCGGUUCUCUGGGCCUUUCCUGACGCUGAGGAGCGAAAGCGUGGGGAGCGAACAGGCUUAGAUACCCUGGUAGUCCACGCUGUAAACGGUGGGUACUAGGUGUGGGGUCCAUUCCACGGGUUCCGUGCCGUAGCUAACGCUUUAAGUACCCCGCCUGGGGAGUACGGCCGCAAGGCUAAAACUCAAAGGAAUUGACGGGGCCCCGCACAAGCGGCGGAGCAUGCGGAUUAAUUCGAUGCAACGCGUAGAACCUUACCUGGGUUUGACAUGGAUCGGGAGUGCUCAGAGAUGGGUGUGCCUCUUUUGGGGUCGGUUCACAGGUGGUGCAUGGCUGUCGUCAGCUCGUGUCGUGAGAUGUUGGGUUAAGUCCCGCAACGAGCGCAACCCUUGUUCACUGUUGCCAGCACGUUAUGGUGGGGACUCAGUGGAGACCGCCGGGGUCAACUCGGAGGAAGGUGGGGAUGACGUCAAGUCAUCAUGCCCCUUAUGUCCAGGGCUUCACGCAUGCUACAAUGGCUGGUACAGAGAGUGGCGAGCCUGUGAGGGUGAGCGAAUCUCGGAAAGCCGGUCUCAGUUCGGAUUGGGGUCUGCAACUCGACCUCAUGAAGUCGGAGUCGCUAGUAAUCGCAGAUCAGCAACGCUGCGGCGAAUACGUUCCCGGGGCUUGUACACACCGCCCGUCAAGUCAUGAAAGUUGGUAACACCCGAAGCCGGUGGCCUAACCGUUGUGGGGGAGCCGUCGAAGGUGGGACUGGUGAUUAGG